GCCAAUCAGCUAGCUCAUAACCCCCAACAACUAAAAUAACAAUAUACAUACCAUAACACAAACUUAAUAACUAAAACUAAAUCAUUCAACCACCCCAGUAUGGGCGACAAAAAAGGAUUUCACCGAAGCCAUAGAUAAAGUACCGCAAGGGAAAGCUGAAAAAGAACUGAAAAAAUGCACUCAAGCACAAAAAAGCAGAGACUAAAACUCGUACCUUUUGCAUCAUGAUCUAGCCAGUACCCCCAAGCAAAGAGAACUCCAGUUUGAUGCCCCGAAACCUCCGACGAGCUACCCCAGGGCCGCCUAAAACAGGGCAAACCCAUCUCUGUGGCAAAAGAGUGGAAAGACCCUCAGGUAGAGGUGAAAAGCCUACCGAGUCAGGUUAUAGCUGGUUGCCCAGAAAAUGAAUAAUAGUUCAGCCCCAUACAACGCCCCCCGCCAACCAUAAUAGUCCCACAGGCAACAGGGCCACCCAUGGGAGUUAGUUAAAGGAGGUACAGCUCCCUUAACAAAGGAUACAACCUUACUCAGGAGGCUAAGGAAUACAUCAAAUGAAAGCACAGGUUUCAGUGGGCCUAAAAGCAGCCAUCUGUACAGAAAGCGUCAAAGCUCAUACCAGCUCAAGCUUAUUAUAAUGUUAAGCACCUUCCUAUGCCCCUCAACAAUACUGAGCCCUCCUAUGCUCCCAUAGGAGAGACCCUGCUAGAACGAGUAAUAAGAAGCAAGAACUUCUCCCUGCACAUGUGUAAGUCGAGCUGGACCCACCGUCGACAACUAACGAACCCAACGGAAGAGGACAAUGCGUUACCGCCACUAUAGGCCAAGGAGAACACGCACCUCACCCCAUCGUUAACCCCACACAGGAGUGCCUUAGUCACGGGAAAGACUUAAAGAAUAAAAAGGAACUCGGCAAACCCAGACCCCGCCUGUUUACCAAAAACAUCGCCUCCUGCCCCUAAUUAUAUAGGAGGUCCCGCCUGCCCUGUGACCAAAAGUUUAACGGCCGCGGUAUCAUAACCGUGCAAAGGUAGCGCAAUCAAUUGUCUUUUAAAUGGGGACCUGUAUGAAUGGCAUAACGAGGGUCUAGCUGUCUCUUUUUUCUGGUCAAUGAAACUGAUCUGCCCGUGCAGAAGCGGGCAUGCUAACACAAGACGAGAAGACCCUAUGGAGCUUUAGACGCCCACCAACCGCGAGCAGCGCUCCCCUUAACGGGGGCCCAAACAACGCGGCCCUGGUAUAAACGUCUUAGGUUGGGGCGACCGCAGGGGAGAACAAAGCCCCUGAGAGGGUUGGGAACGGCCCUAAAACUGAGAGCUACAGCUCCAAGUCGCAAAACGUUUGACCGAUAAUGAUCCGGCUUACUGCCGAUCAACGGACCAAGUUACCCUAGGGAUAACAGCGCAAUCCUCUCCCAGAGCCCAUAUCGACGAGGGGGUUUACGACCUCGAUGUUGGAUCAGGACAUCCUAAUGGUGCAGCCGCUAUUAAGGGUUCGUUUGUUCAACGAUUAAAGUCCUACGUGAUCUGAGUUCAGACCGGAGUAAUCCAGGUCAGUUUCUAUCUGUGACGCCACCUUUCCUAGUACGAAAGGACCGGAAUGAUGAGGCCCAUACCUUUGGCACGCCUCCCUCCCAACCCGCUGAAGACAACUAAAGCGGGAUAGGGGAGCAACUUACCGCCCGAGAAAAGGGCAU
rnacentral:rRNA from 1 species